AUUUGACGUUACCUACACGAAGAAGACACCGGCUAACUCCGUGCCAGCAGCCGCGGUAAUACGGAGGGUGCGAGCGUUAAUCGGAAUUACUGGGCGUAAAGACGCAUGCAGGCGGCCUGUUAAGUACAGAUGUGAAAGCCCGGGGCGUUAACCUCGGAAUUGCAUUUGAAACUAGGCAGGCUAGAGUCUUGUAGAGGGGGGUAGGAAUUUCAGGUGUAGCGGUGAAAUGCGUAGAGAUCUGAAGGAAUACCAGUGGCGAAGGCGGCCCCCUCGGACAAAGACUGACGCUCAGAUGCGAAAGCGUGGGGAGCAAACAGGAUUAGAUACCCUGGUAG
rnacentral:rRNA from 1 species